CCCGCUGAACUUAAGCAUAUCAAUAAGCGCAGGAAAAGAAACCAACAGGGAUUACCUCAGUAACGGCGAGUGAAGCGGUAAUAGCUCAAAUUUGAAAUCUGGCCUCUUGGGGUCCGAGUUGUAAUUUGUAGAGGAUGUUUUGGGUACCGCCCCGGUCUAAAUUUCUUGGAACAGAAUGUCAAAGAGGGUGAGAAUCCCGUCUUGGACCGGCGGUAGGGCCUGUGUAAAACUCCUUCGACGAGUCGAGUUGUUUGGGAAUGCAGCUCAAAAUGGGUGGUAAAUUUCAUCUAAAGCUAAAUAUAGGCGAGAGACCGAUAGCGAACAAGUACCGUGAGGGAAAGAUGAAAAGCACUUUGGAAAGAGAGUUAAACAGUACGUGAAAUUGCUGAAAGGGAAACGCUUGAAGUCAGUCACGUCUGCCAGGACUCAGCCUUGCUUCUGCUUGGUGUACUUUCUGGUUUGACGGGCCAACAUCAAUUUUGACCGUUGGAGAAAGGCUUUGGGAAUGUGGCACCCUCGGGUGUGUUAUAGCCCUUUGUCGUAUACAACGGUUGGGAUCGAGGACCGCAGCACGCCUUUAUGGCCGGGGUUCGCCUACGUACGUGCUUAGGAUGUUGGCAUAAUGGCUUUAAGCGACCCGUCUUGAAACACGG
rnacentral:rRNA from 1 species